AAGAAAAGCACAGCCAGGAUCAGAAGGGUGAAGAAAUAAUGAUGUCCCACAGGCAAGGAUGCCCACACAGAAUGGCUUUGGGGGAACUGCCAGUUAUUUUGUACGGAAAGCUGAAGGUAGUGGCAGGAGAGUGGUGGGCCUUGCACUGGUGAGGCUGGGGGGGAUCAGAUGUUCAAGGGCCUGGAAAGCUGUGCUGAACAGUUUGGGUUUUCUUUCAUAGACCACUGGGGUGAGGAGGGACUGGAAAGCCUUUGAUCGGGGGACACAUGUGUUUAGAUUUGAAUAUUAGGAAGGCCCCUCAGGUGGCCAGGCUAGGUGAAGUGACCCGAGGACUUGGUAGUGGAAGGCUUCUCUUGCUGCGACUGCCUAUGUGUACGUCUGGCUGGGCACUGUCUCACUAGCAGGAGGUGGCCGGCAGGGAUGCUGGACAGUAUGUAGUUCACCACUUGGGAUAGCCAAGAGUAGCAAGGGUGAGGUGGGUUCAACUCACGAACUUCAUGCUCUUGGUAAAUACUGCUUACUUUUCAGAGUAAGCAGCUGCUCUAGGGGUGAACCCAAGGGUGGUGAUUCACUGUCCAAACUACUGGCUGGAGGGGAGCACAUGGUGGUCAUCCCUCCAUCCAGAAGAGAACAGGACAUGCUCAAGCUGCGCCAAAGAGAAAGGACAAAGGAGAGGAAUUCUGAGAUGCAAGUUCCUAUGGAAGAGGGGACAGAGUUCAAUUCCAACAGUCCAACAGACUAGGGCUAGAGCCAUAGUCUUCUGUUACCUGUACCUUUAACAUUCAGCUUACUAUUGAUUCCUUAUUAUCUGCCUUUAGUGAGGUUCCUUUCAAAACCAAUAAAACAAAACAAUCUUGUCC